rnacentral:sRNA from 1 species
GGGAAGCAGUAGGAACCUUAGAUGCUUGGAAUGGAAUGGUUGAUUAUCCAGAAUGUUUGGGAUAUGUGGAAUGUAUCAACACGAGGCACAGUGGUGUACUGUCAGUAAUGCAGCAUUUGCUGACGAUUGUUUUUUAGAAAGCAAGUUGCUUCAUUUAGAAUAGAUUUCUAUAUGCGUCAUAUGUACUCUUCAGAGACAAGAGACUCCUGGUAGUGUCAGAAAACAAACAACAACAACAAAACCCCACAUGCAACAGAAUUAGACUUUGUGGAGAAAUUUUGUUCUUGGAAUAGAAGCAAGAUCAUUCCUCCAUCACCAUAACAUACAUGCAGUUUUGCCAAGAGAAUGUGGAACGUAGCUGCCCUGCCCCAGGCCUGUCUCAUGUUGGCACACCAUAUGGCUGAAGGGGGAGGCUGCGAUGUACAAACCUCCAGGGAACCUGGCUGGCUAGAAGGGACUCUGAAUGGCAAGAGGGGGCUGAUUCCACAGAACUACGUCAAGCUGCUGUAGCUCCUGGCCUCAGAGCCCCUGCUGACCCUGGCACCCAGGGACCUGCCUGGGGGCAGAAAGCUGUCUUCCUCCUCCGAGGCUCUGGGCUGCACCCACAGCAUAUAGAAUGAGAGGGAG